rnacentral:lncRNA from 1 species
UCCAACCUAACUCCAUCGCUCCAUCAGAUCGCAUGACGAGCGAUAGCAAGACCGCGGAAUAGUCACUGCAUCAGAUCGCUCGCAACGCCGCCCGCUUCCAUUGUGGCGUCCCUCCAGUCAAGCUGCGCCACCCGCUUUUGCUUCCACUCUCGCGUUGGCAUCACCUCCUUCCUUUGUAAUGCCACUGGUUUCCUCGCAGAACUUGCGACGACCACUACCCCCACCUUCUUCUUCCACCCUACCGCGCGCUAUUGUUCCACUACAUCACGACAUUAUCCUUCCUUUGCCCCGUCCCCUUCGUCGCUGACAGCUGCCGCCACUCGCAUGAUUAUUCCUUCCUGUGAAGUGGGGCAUUUAACUUUUCGCCACUCUUAUGAUUUAUGAUUGUUCAUAACAAAUUUGCUACUGGACCCACAUGUCAUAGACUCAUGAGUACUCACAUGACAUAGACAACGAGUGGCAAAUCUAUUUUGAUCACUCGUAAAAGUGAAAAAAAGUUAAAUUUCCCCCUGUGAAGCUGCCUUCAUGCUGUGG